rnacentral:rRNA from 1 species
UCCAGCAUGCCGCGUGAGUGAAGAAGGCCUUCGGGUUGUAAAGCUCUUUUGUCAGGGAAGAAACACCGGCUCUAACACAGUCCGGGAAUGACGGUACCUGAAGAAUAAGCACCGGCUAACUACGUGCCAGCAGCCGCGGUAAUACGUAGGGUGCGAGCGUUAAUCGGAAUUACUGGGCGUAAAGCGUGCGCAGGCGGUUAUACAAGACAGGCGUGAAAUCCCCGGGCUUAACCUGGGAAUGGCGCCUGUGACUGUAUAGCUAGAGUGUGUCAGAGGGGGGUAGAAUUCCACGUGUAGCAGUGAAAUGCGUAGAUAUGUGGAGGAAUACCAAUGGCGAAGGCAGCCCCCUGGGAUAACACUGACGCUCAUGCACGAAAGCGUGGGGAGCAAACAGGAUUAGAUACCCUGGUAGUCCACGCCCUAAACGAUGCUGACUAGUUGUUCGGGAUUUACAUCCUGAGUAACGUAGCUAACGCGUGAAGUCAGCCGCCUGGGGAGUACGGUCGCAAGAUUACAACUCACAGGACUUGACGGGGACCCGCACAAGCGGUGGAUGAUGUGGAUUAAU